rnacentral:rRNA from 1 species
UGGGGAAUAUUGGACAAUGGGGGCAACCCUGAUCCAGCAAUGCCGCGUGAGUGAUGAAGGCCUUAGGGUUGUAAAGCUCUUUUACCAGGGAUGAUAAUGACAGUACCUGGAGAAUAAGCUCCGGCUAACUCCGUGCCAGCAGCCGCGGUAAUACGGAGGGAGCUAGCGUUGUUCGGAAUUACUGGGCGUAAAGCGCGCGUAGGCGGGCUGUUAAGUCGGGGGUGAAAUCCCGGGGCUCAACCCCGGAACUGCCUCCGAUACUGGCAGUCUAGAGGACGGAAGAGGCUAGUGGAAUGGCGAGUGUAGAGGUGAAAUUCGUAGAUAUUCGCCGGAACACCAGUGGCGAAGGCGACUGGCUGGUCCGUUUCUGACGCUGAGGUGCGAAAGCGUGGGGAGCAAACAGGAUUAGAUACCCCCGUAGUCC